rnacentral:rRNA from 1 species
UACGUAGGCAGCAAGCGUUGUUCGGAGUUACUGGGCGUAAAGGGUGUGUAGGCGGUCUUCUAAGUUUGGUGUGAAAUCUCCCGGCUCAACUGGGAGGGUGCGCCGAAAACUGGGAGGCUAGAGUGCGGGAUGGGAGAGUGGAACUCCGAGUGUAGAGGUGAAAUUCGUAGAUAUUCGGAAGAACACCAGUGGCGAAGGCGGCUCACUGGUCCGGUACUGACGCUGAGGUGCGAAAGCGUGGGGAGCAAACAGG